rnacentral:rRNA from 1 species
GAUGAACGCUGGCGGCGUGCCUAAUACAUGCAAGUCGAGCGAACAGAUGAGGAGCUUGCUCCUCUGACGUUAGCGGCGGACGGGUGAGUAACACGUGGAUAACCUACCUAUAAGACUGGGAUAACUUCGGGAAACCGGAGCUAAUACCGGAUAAUAUAUUGAACCGCAUGGUUCAAUAGUGAAAGACGGUUUUGCUGUCACUUAUAGAUGGAUCCGCGCCGCAUUAGCUAGUUGGUAAGGUAACGGCUUACCAAGGCAACGAUGCGUAGCCGACCUGAGAGGGUGAUCGGCCACACUAGAACUGAGACACGGUCCAGACUCCUACGGGAGGCAGCAGUAGGGAAUCUUCCGCAAUGGGCGAAAGCUUGACGGAGCAACGCCGCGUGAGUGAUGAAGGUCUUCGGAUCGUAAAACUCUGUUAUUAGGGAAGAACAAAUGUGUAAGUAACUAUGCACGUCUUGACGGUACCUAAUCAGAAAGCCACGGCUAACUACGUG